CCCGCCUACGGGAGGCAGCAGUGGGGAAUAUUGCACAAUGGGGGAAACCCUGAUGCAGCGACGCCGCGUGAAGGAAGAAGUAUUUCGGUAUGUAAACUUCUAUCAGCAGGGAAGAAAGUGACGGUACCUGACUAAGAAGCCCCGGCUAACUACGUGCCAGCAGCCGCGGUAAUACGUAGGGGGCAAGCGUUAUCCGGAUUUACUGGGUUUAAAGGGUGCGUAGGCGGGCUGUUAAGUCAGCGGUCAAAUGUCGGGGCUCAACCCCGGCCUGCCGUUGAAACUGGCGGUCUUGAGUGAGCGAGAAG
rnacentral:rRNA from 1 species